AUGAACGCUGGCGGCGUGCCUAAUACAUGCAGGUCGAGCGAACGGACGAGAAGCUUGCUUCUCUGAUGUUAGCGGCGGACGGGUGAGUAACACGUGGAUAACCUACCUAUAAGACUGGGAUAACUUCGGGAAACCGUAGCUAAUACCGGAUAAUAUUUUGAACCGCAUGGUUCAAAAGUGAAAGACGGUCUUGCUGUCACUUAUAGAUGGAUCCGCGCUGCAUUAGCUAGUUGGUAAGGUAACGGCUUACCAAGGCAACGAUGCAUAGCCGACCUGAGAGGGUGAUCGGCCACACUGGAACUGAGACACGGUCCAGACUCCUACGGGAGGCAGCAGUAGGGAAUCUUCCGCAAUGGGCGAAAGCCUGACGGAGCAACGCCGCGUGAGUGAUGAAGGUGUUCGGAUCGUAAAACUCUGUUAUUAGGGAAGAACAUAUGUGUAAGUAACUGUGCACAUCUUGACGGUACCUAAUCAGAAAGCCACGGCUAACUACGUG
rnacentral:rRNA from 1 species